rnacentral:rRNA from 1 species
AGUGAACGCUGGCGGUAGACCUAACACAUGCAAGUCGAACGGCAGCACAGUAAGAGCUUGCUCUUACGGGUGGCGAGUGGCGGACGGGUGAGGAAUACAUCGGAAUCUACUUUUUCGUGGGGGAUAACGUAGGGAAACUUACGCUAAUACCGCAUACGACCUACGGGUGAAAGCAGGGGAUCUUCGGACCUUGCGCGAUUGAAUGAGCCGAUGUCGGAUUAGCUAGUUGGCGGGGUAAAGGCCCACCAAGGCGACGAUCCGUAGCUGGUCUGAGAGGAUGAUCAGCCACACUGGAACUGAGACACGGUCCAGACUCCUACGGGAGGCAGCAGUGGAGAAUAUUGGACAAUGGGCGCAAGCCUGAUCCAGCCAUACCGCGUGGGUGAAGAAGGCCUUCGGGUUGUAAAGCCCUUUUGUUGGGAAAGAAAAGCAGCAGGUUAAUACCCCGCUGUUCUGACGGUACCCAAAGAAUAAGCACCGGCUAACUUCGUG